rnacentral:rRNA from 1 species
GGAAUAUUGGACAAUGGGGGAAACCCUGAUCCAGCCAUGCCGCGUGUGUGAAGAAGGCCUUCGGGUUGUAAAGCACUUUAAGCAGGGAGGACAGGGCAACGGCUAAUAUCCGUUGCGGUUGACGUUACCUGCCGAACACGCACCGGCUAACUUCGUGCACGCAGCCGCGGUAAUACGAAGGGUGCAAGCGUUAAUCGGAAUUACUGGGCGUAAAGCGCGCGUAGGCGGUUUGGUAAGUGUGAUGUGAAAGCCCAGGGCUCAACCUUGGAACUGCAUCACAUACUGUCAGACUAGAGUACGGGAGAGGGGGGUAGAAUUCCACGUGUAGCGGUGAAAUGCGUAGAGAUGUGGAGGAAUACCGGUGGCGAAGGCGGCCCCCUGGAUCGAUACUGACGCUGAGGUGCGAAAGCGUGGGGAGCA